GAUGAGUUCAGAAGACGGUGAAUGACCCAUUGGAUGGAAAUGCUGAAAUCCUUCUUUCUCAAUGGCGAAAAGGGCAAUAAAAUUUAUGACAGCUGAGUUAUCUGCUCACCAAGGUAUAAAAAGCAGUCAGAAGACGAGACCAUUUCAUGACCACGCAUAGGUCGCUGUAAAUCAAAACUCACACUUUUCCAGGAGUGUUCAUUCAUAAAGGAAGGAACGAAGCAUGAAGAAGCUGGCAUUCUCCCUCCUGUUGGUUUUUGUCUUAGGGACUGCAGCUCAUGUUCUGACACCCAAGAAUGAUACGAAGGAAGAAAUGGAA